rnacentral:rRNA from 1 species
ACUGAACACUGGCGGGAGGCCCCACACAUGCAAGUCGAACGAGUGGCGGACGGGUGAGUAAUGACUGGGAAACUGCCGGAUGGAGGGGGAUAAGUACUGGAAACGGUAGCUAAGACAGUAGACCAUCGGAUGUGCCAAGAUGGGAUUAGCUAGGAGGUGGGGUAAAGUCCCACCUGGGCGACGAUCCCUAACUGGUCUGCGAGGAUGACCAGUCACACUGGAACUGAGACACGGUCCAGACUCCUACGGGAGGCAGCAGUGGGGAAUAUUGGACAAUGGGCGCAAGCCUGAUGCAGCCAUGCCGCGUGUGUGAAGAAGGCCUUCGGGUUGUAAAGUACUUUCAGCUGGGAGGCGUUACCCACAGAAGAAGCACCGGCUAACUACGUGCCAGCCGCCGCGGUAAUUC